rnacentral:sRNA from 1 species
CAGGCAUAUACUACGUAUAUAGUAGCAUUGAGUUCCAAAAUGAUCAGACUGUACCUGUCAACUCUACCAAAUAUCACUAUAUACAUAGAGUCAGUCCUGGCAAUCCAAGUUUGUCUGGUGUUCUUUUAAGAAUGGUUCUAACUGUCGAUAAAAGUUCUUCACCAAUUCAAGAAACAACAUAUACAGGAGGUGCUUUCUAUUUACAGAGUGGUGACCUGAUUCAGAUUUGUUUAUCUUUUCCAACCAAUAUCAAUAAAAACUCUUCUUCCUU